AUGCACGCUGGCGGCGUGCCUAAUCCAUGCAAGUCGCGCGCACAGACGAGGAGCUUGCUCCUCUGACGUUAGCGGCGGACUGGUGAGUAACACGUGGAUAACCUACCUAUAAGACUGGGAUAACUUCGGGAAACCGGAGCUAAUACCGGAUAAUAUAUUGAACCGCAUGGUUCAAUAGUGAAAGACGGUUUUGCUGUCACUUAUAGAUGGAUCCGCGCCGCAUUAGCUAGUUGGUAAGGUAACGGCUUACCAAGGCAACGAUGCGUAGCCGACCUGAGAGGGUGAUCGGCCACACUGGAACUGAGACACGGUCCAGACUCCUACGGGAGGCAGCAGUAGGGAAUCUUCCGCAAUGGGCGAAAGCCUGACGGAGCAACGCCGCGUGAGUGAUGAAGGUCUUCGGAUCGUAAAACUCUGUUAUUAGGGAAGAACAAAUGUGUAAGUAACUAUGCACGUCUUGACGGUACCUAAUCAGAAAGCCACGGCUAACUACGUG
rnacentral:rRNA from 1 species